rnacentral:rRNA from 1 species
UACGUAGGGUGCGAGCGUUGUCCGGAUUUAUUGGGCGUAAAGAGCUCGUAGGCGGCUCGUCGCGUCGACUGUGAAAACCUGGGGCUUAACCCUGGGCUUGCAGUCGAUACGGGCGGGCUAGAGUUCGGUAGGGGAGACUGGAAUUCCUGGUGUAGCGGUGAAAUGCGCAGAUAUCAGGAGGAACACCGGUGGCGAAGGCGGGUCUCUGGGCCGAUACUGACGCUGAGGAGCGAAAGCGUGGGGAGCGAACAGG